GACCACCAGCACAAGGUUGCUGCUGCGGAUCCGGAUCCACUAUGCAAUCCACUUCCUGCAAGUUUCCGAGCACCCUCCAAACCGCAAGACAACUGCUGCUGCUGCUGCCAUCCGUGAAACCGUAGCCUAGCACCGCACAUGGUUGAGGUAGGAGGAGAAGAUGAACCUGGCUGCGCUUGCUGCUGCGAUACACCACCAGUGGUUCCUGCAAGUCUACAUGGCCCCCAAUCGCAAGCCCCACACGUAUGCACCUGCUGCUCAUUUACAUGAACAAAACUGCUGCUGCUGCUACAAUACGUGAGACCUAGCCUGGCGGCUCAGAGCUCAAGCAAUUCCCGUUGCUGCUGGCAGGAGGGAGGCCCAGUUCUGCCGGAAAUGCGCUCCCGCUUGCUGCUGCAGAUCCACUAAGCAAUCGGUUCCUGCAAGUCUCUGGGCCCCCUCAAUUGCCAGGUCUUGUCCGUGGAUGACAUCAACGCAGCUGAGGACGGUGAACACAAGGAAAACAGUCUCACUUCUGUGAGGUUGGAUGAGCUUUGCCGACCUGGACGGCGAUGGGGAAGACGACCAAGACAUCAGGGCAUCUCGAGCCUGACCAGCCCGAUGCCCUGCAAAAAGCUGCCAGCAUACCUAGUGCUCAUUUAGAUGAAGACAACUGCUGCUGCCAUCCGUAACCUAGCCUAGCACCGCAGAUGGCUGAGGGAGGAGCAGGAGGUGAAGCGGGAUGAGGCAGGCUCAUCCGCUAGCGCUGCGGGGAGGGCUCUGGUUGCUGCUGCAGAUCGACUACAAGCUGCUAUACCCCAUCUGUUCCUGCCAGUCUACGAGGCCCCCAAUUGCAAGGUGUUGUCCAUGGAUGACAUGGACGCAGAGGACGGUGAACACAAGUACAGCAGUCUCACUUCCGUGAGGUUGGAUGACCUUUUCCGACAUGGACGACGAUGGGGAAGACGACCUAGACAUCAGGGAAUCUCGAGCCUGACCUGCCCAACACCCUGCAAAAAGGUCCUCUCCCCCCAUCUUCUGAUGUGCUUUAUUCUACCCUUGUUUUCCCACCAUCUCAUGAUCCAGUUGCAGCUUGGCUAAUGUACAUAAAUUGUCUAGCUUCCUCGUGUUACUUCCCAUGUGGCUACCUGACUUACUAUAAUCCUUGUGCUCAUUUAGAUGAAGACAAUUGCUGUUGCCAUCCGUGAAAACCUAGCCUAGCACCGUGGACGGCUGACGGAGGAGGAGGAGGAGCAAAAGUGGGAUGAGGCAGGUGCAUCCGCUAGCGCCGCUGGGAGGGCUCUGGUUGUCGACUACAAGCUGCUAUACCCCCUGUUCCUGCCAGUCUACGAGGCCCCUAAUUGCAAGGGAGGUUGGCCGUGGGAGGGUUCUACUCGCCUGCGAUGCAGCAUCAACCAGCAGAACUCGAUGAGGGUGACACGAGCCACAGAGUGCUACUACCCAUUCAUCUUCUUUGCCCCUGGGCAGCUCGGGGUCGCUCUAUCCAUCAGGUUCUGGGCGGCUAGAAGAUCCGAAGACAACUUGGCGCUCUACUUCCUUGUGUCCUCUGCCGCAACAGGCUGACGCAGCCCAUGGGCUCUGUCCUCACAGUCUCCUCUGCAUGAUGCUGCCCGAGUGUAAAAGAAUACCAUCUUGCACAGCUUUUACUGGCUAUGCGUCUCCACCGAUGGUGUCAUCAAUGCCUGGGCAUGGGUGCUGGAUGGUGGCACCUGCAUCAACGCCCGACUUCUACAGCUGGGCCAGUUCAAGGCACUGUUCCAUUGUUCUUCAAUGCAGAGAUCCUGUUGUGCCCGACCGCCAUGACGCUCCGCAAAAAAGUCAUCUUUUUCCCCAUGUUCUGAUGUGCUCUACUCUAGACAAGUUUGCACAUCAUCUCUUGAUCCAGUUGCAGCUUAGCUACUGUACAGAAAAUAGCUAGCUUCCUUGUUGCUUCUCAUGUGGCUACCUAACUUGUGCUGAUCCUUGUGCUUAUGUGCAGCAGCCAGAAUAUGCAAGUGCUCAAUUACAUGAAGAAAACUAAGCUGCUGUUUCCAUUCGUGAUACUUUGCCUAGCACGGCGGACGGCUGAGGGACGAGGAGGAGCUCAAGCGGGAGGAGGCAGGUGCAUCCGCAAGCGCUGUGGGGAGGUGCUCCGGUUUCUGCUGUGGAUUGACUACGAGGUAUAUGCCAUUGGUUCCUGCCAGGCUACGAGGCCCUCAAUUGCAAGGUGAAUGGAACUUUCCAAGCCCAAGAGCAUGCUGGUAGUACUCUGUUCACAAUUUCUUCCCAUGUUAAAGAGCAUGGUUCAUUGAGAUGGGCUUGUUGCAUGGUGCUGCUCUGUACUUCAUUGCUACUAGAGAGUGGCGGGAAGGCGCUCUGGUUGCUGCCGCGGAUCCACUACAGGGUCUACAGAGUCGUUUCUUCCUGCAAGUCUCUGAGGCCCCUCUAUUGCCAGCAGCCAGAGUAUGCAUGUGCUCAAUUAGAUGAAGAAAUCUAUAGUUGUUGCUGCCAUCCGUGAUACCUUGCCUAGCACGGUGGAUGGCUGAGGGAUGAGGGACGAUGAAGAGCUAAAGCGGGAAGAGGCAGGUGCAUUCGGAAGCGCUGUGGGGAGGGCUCCGCUUGCUGCUGCAGAUCAACUAGAAGCUGCUAUAUGUCAUCGGUUCCUGCCAGCCUAUGAGGCCCUCAAUUGCAAGUUGGCCAUCACAUGGAUGUGUGGUCUUCUAUGACAACAUCAUUCAUGUCUUCCUCUGCUCUAGCCUUGACAUCGCGUGCAAGUACGAGGACAAUGAUGCACCAUUGUAGCCCACCACUUGUUGUUUGCACGGUCAUACACUGGCAGUGGCAUGGAUGGUGUCCUGGUGCAAUCAGGGCUACAAUCAGUCUUAGGAAAAGAUGUAAAUGAGCACACGAUUUCUUAUUUGCCACUGGUUUCUGUUCCAUGUGUUAUAUCUGCAAUACAUGAGCUUUGCAUUGCCUUGGGUGGAUGAUGGUGUUCAGAUUUUAAACACUGACACACACUCGAGGCCCCUCUCAGAUGGUGAAUGUAUCAAGGAACCAACCAUCGGA